CAGAGUCCAGCCUUCACCAAAAAAUUGAACUUACCUGAGCUUUGAUCUUGUAGUCUCUAGAACUGCAGGGACUUAGAAGCCAUUUCUGCUAUGAACCUUGACUUCACUUGGUCUUACAGAUGUCCAACAGGGAAGGUGGAGUCCCACCCAACGAAGACUGCCUUAGACAGGGAUAAUCCUUUCUUGGAAAUUCGACCACCCCUCAGCCAAAAGGAGUUUGGCACCAGGAGUGAAAGAAUGAGCAGCCGGACCCCAGGUUGACUAGCUCA